CGGCCCGCGGUCAGGAGGCGGCAGCCGCGGGCCAGUUGGAGGCGGGCCAGGCCGUCGUAGGCGGCGAGGAGGGCGGGGAUCGCGCCCGCCGGGUCGCC
rnacentral:tRNA from 1 species